UACGUAGGGGGCAAGCGUUGUCCGGAAUUAUUGGGCGUAAAGAGCGUGUAGGCGGUCCGAUAAGUCGGCUGUGAAAGUCCAGGGCUCAACCCUGGGAUGCCGGUCGAUACUGUCGGACUAGAGUUCGGAAGAGGCGAGUGGAAUUCCCGGUGUAGCGGUGAAAUGCGCAGAUAUCGGGAGGAACACCUAUGGCGAAGGCAGCUCGCUGGGACGUUACUGACGCUGGAGACGCGAAAGCGUGGGGAGCAAACAGG
rnacentral:rRNA from 1 species